GAUGAACGCUGGCGGCGUGCCUAAUACAUGCAAGUCGAGCGAACAGACGAGGAGCUUGCUCCUUCGACGUUAGCGGCGGACGGGUGAGUAACACGUAGGUAACCUACCUAUAAGACUGGGAUAACUUCGGAAAACCGGAGCUAAUACCGGAUAAUAUUUCGAACCGCAUGGUUCGAUAGUGAAAGAUGGCUUUGCUAUCACUUAUAGAUGGACCUGCGCCGUAUUAGCUAGUUGGUAAGGUAACGGCUUACCAAGGCAACGAUACGUAGCCGACCUGAGAGGGUGAUCGGCCACACUGGAACUGAGACACGGUCCAGACUCCUACGUGAGGCAGCAGUAGGGAAUCUUCCGCAAUGGGCGAAAGCCUGACGGAGCAACGCCGCGUGAGUGAUGAAGGUCUUCGGAUCGUAAAACUCUGUUAUUAGGGAAGAACAAACGUGUAAGUAACUGUGCACGUCUUGACGGUACCUAAUCAGAAAGCCACGGCUAACUACGUG
rnacentral:rRNA from 1 species